CUUGUUGGUGAGGUAACGGCUCACCAAGGCUUACGGGUAGCGGGUCUGAGAGGAUGAUCCGCCACACUGGGACUGGGACACUGCCCAGACUCCUACGGGAGGCUGCAGUCGAGAAUCAUUGUCAAUGCACGAAAGUGUGAACAUGCGACGCCGCGUGGAGGAAGACGGCCUUUGGGUUGUAAACUCCUGUCAGCAGGGAGUAAGGAUAGUUUGAUUAAUAAUCACUCUAUUUGAUAGUACCUGCAGAGGAAGUCACGGCUAACUCUGUGCCAGCAGCCGCGGUAAUACAGAGGUGGCGAACGUUGUUCGGAUUUACUGGGCGUAAAGGGUCCGCAGGCGGUCUUGUGUGUCAGAUGUGAAAGCCCACGGCUUAACCGUGGAAUUGCAUUUGAAACUGCAAGACUAGAGUACUGGAGGGGAGAAGGGAACACUUGGUCUAGCGGUGAAAUGCGUAGAUAUCAAGUGGAACACCGGCGGCGAAGGCGCUUCUCUGGACAGAUACUGACGCUCAUGGACGAAAGUUAGGGUAGCGAAAGGGAUUAGAUACCCCUGUAGUCCUAACCGUAAACGGUGUGCACUAGACGUGGGAGGCUUUACCCCCUUCCGUGUCUGAGCUAACGCAUUAAGUGCACCGCCUGGGGAGUACGGUCGCAAGAUUAAAACUCAAAGGAAUUGACGGGGACCCGCACAAGCGGUGGAGCAUGCGGCUUAAUUCGAUGCAACGCGAAGAACCUUACCUGGGCUUGACAUAUAGCUGCCUUCGAGGGUGCUAUACAGGUGCUGCAUGGCUGUCGUCAGCUCGUGCCGUGAGGUGUUGGGUUAAGUCCCGCAACGAGCGCAACCCCUGUGUUUAGUUGCCAGCACGUAAUGGUGGGAACUCUAAACAGACUGCUUGUGAAAACAAGAGGAAGGUGGGGAUGACGUCAAGUCAGUAUGGUCCUUAUGUCCAGGGCUGCACGCGUGCUACAAUGGGAUGUACAAUGGGAGGCUAAGCCGCGAGGUGGAGCAAAUCCUCAAAGCAUCCCUCAGUUCGGAUUGGAGUCUGAAACUCGACUCCAUGAAGUUGGAAUCGCUAGUAAAGGUAUAUCAGCUACGAUACCUUGAAUACGUUCCCGGGUCUUGUACACACCGCCCGUCACAUCAUGGAAGUCUGUUGCACCCGAAGUUGUUGAUCCAACCUCUCACGAGGAGGAAGGCACCUAAGGUGUGAUAGGUAACU
rnacentral:rRNA from 1 species